AACUCUUCUGAUCUGUAAAACUAUCUAGCCAUAUUUCCUUGUAUUUUGUUAUUUCAGGCCAGAGCAAUUGAAAUUUAACUGUGAAUCGUGGGCAAGUGGAGUUAUCAAUUUUGAAGAGAAUCAAACAGGAAGAUCCUUUAUCAAAAGUCAGGAUGAAUUAAGGAAUGUGGAAUGAGGUACCUCUAUACCGAAC
rnacentral:lncRNA from 1 species